GUGCUCACUUCGGCAGCACAUAUACUAAAAUUGGAAUGAUACAUACUGGCCCCUGCUGCAAGGAUGGCAUGCAAAUUUGUGAAGCGUUUCAUAAAUUA
ensembl:snRNA Gm24086 predicted gene, 24086